rnacentral:lncRNA from 1 species
CAAAUACGUGGAUUUGUAUGCAUUGUGAUCAUCCGAAUUUUUGAGCAUUUAUUUACUGAUUCUAGAUGAAAUUAUAUAUGUUGAACUGGGAUUUGACAUAGGAGAAAACUCGUUAAACCUACACUGUUAUUUUUCAGAAAAAUUACCAGUUUUGGCUUCAGGAGCUGCUGUAUUUCUGUAUCACAGCUGUUAGUGCGUAGUGGAUACUCAACAUAGGGUAGGCUGAUAUUACGUUCGUGCUGAGGGGCCGAGCUUGUUGUACAGUAGCGUUUGGACUGUCGGGUGCCGUUGGGGUUGACGGUAGAUCCAGAUUUCUGUAUCACCGCUGUUAGUGCGAGGUGGAUACUCAGAUGAGUGUAGGUUGAGUUUACGCUCGCGCUGAGGAGCCGAGUGUGUUGUUACAGUAGAGUUAGACUGUGUUAGACCGUCGGUUGCCGUCGGGGUUGACGAUGGA